AUUGAACGCUGGCGGAAUGCUUUACACAUGCAAGUCGAACGGCAGCACGGACUUCGGUCUGGUGGCGAGUGGCGAACGGGUGAGUAAUGUAUCGGAACGUGCCCAGUCGUGGGGGAUAACGUAGUGAAAAUUACGCCAAUACCGCAUACGAUCUAUGGAUGAAAGUGGGGGAUCGCAAGACCUCGCGCGAUUGCAGCGGCCGAGAUCAGAUUAGGUAGUUGGUGGGGUAAAGGCCCACCAAGGCAGCGAUCUGUAGCUGGUCUGCCAGGACGACCAGCCACACUGGAACUGAGACACGGUCCAGACUCCUACGGGAGGCAGCAGUGGGGAAUUCUGGACAAUGGGCGAAAGCCUGAUCCAGCCAUUCCGCGUGCAGGAUGAAGGCCCUCGGGUUGUAACCUGCUUUUGUACAGAACGAAAAGGUUUCUACUAAUACUAGGAGCUCAUGACGGUACUGUAAGAAUAAGCACCGGCUAACUACGUGCCAGCCGCCGCGGUAA
rnacentral:rRNA from 1 species